AUUCCCCAAAACCAAAAAGUGGAUUUUUUCACAGUUUUUCCGUUUCCAUGGUAACGGCGGACAUCUUGAAAGUGCCAACCCCAAAAAGCAAAUCUUCACAUGGUGGUUAACAUUAUGGUAUAGUUCCAUCUUCUUUGGUCCAUUUAUAUUAGAGUUCCAGACUGGACAAAAAAGUGUGGAAGAAAAAUAAUAAUAAAGAUAAAAAAAACUAGAUUUGUAAUUGCUAGCAAUAACGGAUGGCACCCUCGUCCCCCCAUUGCCAGGCGAGCAGCAGCCAUUUUGGAAAUUCCAAAGUCAAAGAGUGCAUCUACACCUGCAAAUUAUCAUUUUUGCAAAAAUUUCAUUAAGUUUGGAGCAUUUUGAAAUUUUGGACAAUUUUGCUGUUUCCAUGGUUACGGCGGCCAUUUUGGAAAUUCCAACUUCAAAAUGCAACUCUGCACAUGUCAGUCACUAUUCCUG
rnacentral:lncRNA from 1 species